rnacentral:misc_RNA from 1 species
ACUUCCGUUAACACCCACGCAUAUCUACACAAGCCCCCUCUCUCAACACACAAACUCAUCUGCACACUUUCGAUAUGUCGGUCGCUCUCCAAAGCCACGUGCCGCAGAAAACGGACGCCCCGCUUCGUCUCGGCAUCUGUUUGCCCACUCUCAGCAGGGACACGAGGGCGUGCUGAAGUGACGACCUUUGCCAUACUCUGGUAUCUCUCCUCACACGUUUCCAGCACACCCUCUCAACCGCUAUCCAGCGUACACUCAAUCAAACACUGCGAUUUCCUUGUGUGCAUCUCCGCUGCUUUCCUUGUUCGUUCUCUUCGUUGCUCGUCGUCUCCUCCCGUCCCUCCCUCCUAGCGCACUGCAGCGGUCUCUUUGCCUUCCGUCUUGGUGCUCAGCCACCGCUUCCUGCUUCCUUGAUGACGGACGGAGAGGGGGCCGCUGCCGUGCGCGGUGUCGCGGUGCCCGCUGCCCCAGACUCUGUCUUAUGAGGCCAGGCAGUUCCCUCACCCCCCCCCCCCGCCCCCUCCAUUCCUGCGAGUGCAGAGCCACAUCUGGCGGUGACCGCGUCCGUCACCCGCUACGUGGGGAAGUUAUAGCGAGUCCUCGCUGCUGAUGUGGGCGGCCAGGUCGCGGAGGGCGCGGCGCCGGGGCGCCCUGCGAGGCGGGGAGUGUGGGCAGAGCGCGAGGCAGGGGCUGCACUGAGACGGCUGCGUCGGGGCGUUUGCUGCAACGCGUGUGCCUACGGCUGCUUCGCACCACGCGACGGGGCCUGUGGCAGGGCCGGAGGCGGUGGGAAGUUGAGCAUGUGUCGUAUGGCGGAGCGUGUACACGUUGCAAAGCAGAAAAAAAAAGGUUAAGAUGGAGGUUGCCAUGGGGCUCGAAAGGCGCGCCCGGUGUGCACGUGCGCGUCUGUCCGCGGCUUGCUCCUGUCUCUGUCUGUGUUCGCCCACCUCUUGAUCUUCCUCCCUCUGGACCUGUUGUUCUCAC